CACAUUCAAAGAGUGCGUAAUAGCUCACUAGUCGAGAGGUCCUGCGCCGAAAAUUUCCGGGGCUAAAACACGAUACCGAAGCUUAGGAAUGUAGCAAUACAUUGGUAGAGGAGCAAUCUCAGAGUGCCGAAGCGUUACCGUAAGGAAGCGUGGAGUUCUGAGAAGAGAGAAUGCCGGAAUGAGUAGCGAGAAUGAUGUGAGAAUCAUCAUGGCCGAAUAUCCAAGGAUUCCAGGGUAAAGCUGAUCUGCCCUGGGUAAGUCGGGACCUAAGGCGAGGGAGAGAUCCGUAGUCGAUGGACAGCAGGUUCAUAUUCCUGCACCUGACAUGAUCAGAACUGUGGGGACACAGGAACAAAACCGGACCCGGGAGAGCAAAGACCGGGCGAAGCGAAGCUAGGAGUGCGGUAGGCAAAUCCGCCGCACAAUCCGAAAGCGUGAUAGGGAGCGAAAAAUAAGUAGCGAAGCCGGUGGAGGGACUGUCGAGAAAAGCCGCUAUUGUAUCAUGUCAGCCCGUACCGCAAACCGACACAGGUGGAUGAGGAGAGAAUCCUAAGGCCGGCGGGAGAAGCAUUGUUAAGGAACUCGGCAAAAUGACCCCGUAACUUCGGGAGAAGGGGUGCUGCAGAGAUGCAGCCGCAGAGAAAAGGCUCAAGCAACUGUUUAGCAAAAACACAGGUCUAUGCGAAACCGUAAGGUAAAGUAUAUGGGCUGACGCCUGCCCGGUGCUGGAAGGUUAAGAGGAGAGGUUAGCGCAAGCGAAGCUUUGAAUUUAAGCCCCAGUAAACGGCGGCCGUAACUAUAACGGUCCUAAGGUAGCGAAAUUCCUUGUCGGGUAAGUUCCGACCCGCACGAAAGGCGUAAUGAUUUGAGCGCUGUCUCAACAAUGCACCCGGUGAAAUUGAAGUACCAGUGAAGAUGCUGGUGACCUGCGCCAGGACGGAAAGACCCCAUGGAGCUUUACUCCAGCUUGAUACCGGGAUUCGGUGUUACUCGUACAGGAUAGGUGGGAGGCUAAGAAGGAAGGACGCCAGUCUUUCCGGAGCCGCUGUUGGGAUACCACCCCUGUGGCACUGGAUUUCUAACCUACAUCCGUGAUCCGGAUGGGGGACAAUGUCAGGUGGGGAGUUUGACUGGGGCGGUCGCCUCCGAAAGAGUAUCGGAGGCGCUCAAAGGUUCCCUCAGAAUGGUUGGAAACCAUUCGAAGAGCGCAAAGGCAGAAGGGAGCUUGACUGCGACACCGACGGGUGGAGCAGGUACGAAAGUAGGACUUAGUGAUCCGGUGGUAUAAAGUGGGAUUGCCAUCGCUCAACGGAUAAAAGCUACCCUGGGGAUAACAGGCUUAUCACUCCCAAGAGUUCACAUCGACGGAGUGGUUUGGCACCUCGAUGUCGGCUCAUCGCAUCCUGGGGCUGAAGUCGGUCCCAAG
rnacentral:rRNA from 1 species